rnacentral:rRNA from 1 species
AACGAACGCUGGCGGCAUGCCUAACACAUGCAAGUCGAACGAGACCUUCGGGUCUAGUGGCGCACGGGUGCGUAACGCGUGGGAAUCUACCCUUGGGUUCGGAAUAACAGUUAGAAAUGACUGCUAAUACCGGAUGAUGACGUAAGUCCAAAGAUUUAUCGCCCAAGGAUGAGCCCGCGUAAGAUUAGCUUGUUGGUGGGGUAAUGGCCUACCAAGGCGACGAUCUUUAGCUGGUCUGAGAGGAUGAUCAGCCGCACUGGGACUGAGACACGGCCCAGACUCCUACGGGAGGCAGCAGUGGGGAAUAUUGGACAAUGGGCGAAAGCCUGAUCCAGCAAUGCCGCGUGAGUGAUGAGGGCCUUAGGGUUGUAAAGCUCUUUUACCAGGGAUGAUAAUGACAGUACCUGGAGAAUAAGCUCCGGCUAACUCCGUGCCAGCAGCCGCCGUAA